UAUAUAUAUAAGUUAUCAUGAUCUUGGGCUUAAGUCUUACCAUGCCACCUACAGUAAUAAUUAACACUUUAUUGCAUGUUUCUGAUUUCAGGUACAGCGGUACAAACUUAUUAGCAGAUUUGUUAAAAGAGCCUUCUGGACAGUUCCAAAACUUCUGUAGAAUGUCUAAUGAAGAUUUUAGUUCACUACUAGCAAAAGUAACACCUUUGAUUGCUAAGAAAGAUACAAAGUGGAGGAAAGCAAUACCACCGAAUGAACGUUUAGCCAUAACCUUACGAUUCCUAGCAACAGGAGAUAGUUUUAAAAGCCUGCAUUACUAGUUUAAAGUAUCACCCCAAAUAAUAUCAGAGAUAAUUCCAGAAGUAUGCAGCUCAAUAAUUGAAGUACUGAAGGAUGUUAUUAAGCUUCCUGCUACUGCGACUGAGUGGAGAAUAAUUAGUCGGCAUUUCGAGGAACUGUGGAAUUUCCCACACUGCAUUGGUACUAUUGAUGGGAAACACGUAACAAUUCAGUCACCAAUCAACAGUGGAUCCGAAUUCUUCAAUUAUAAGAAAUACUUCAGUAUUGUACUCAUGGCGCUGGUUGACGCUGAGUAUUGUUUUAUGUUCGCUGAUUGUGGCUGUCAAGGAAGACUGAGUGAUGGUGCAGUUUUUAAAAACACUGUACUCUACAACAAAAUAAAAAGUAAGAGUUUGAAUUUACCUAACGAUGAGCCGCUACCAGGGAGACAAAAACUGAUGCCGUAUGUAUUUCUUGGUGAUGAUGCAUUUGCUUUAAGUAAGCGACUCAUGAAGCCAUUUCCAGGUAGCCAUGAACAAGGUAGCAAACCCCGCAUUUUUUAAUUACCGUCUAUCACGAGCCCGAAGAAUAGUAGAGAAUACGUUCGGAAUAAUGGCUAGUGUUUUCCGUGUACUAAGGAAGCCAAUGCUACUACAACCUGACAAAGUGGCACUAGUUACUAUGACCUGUGUUAUUCUGCAUAAUUUUUUAAGAAGAAGCAGGACAUCACGAUCGAUGUACACUCCAGCGGGAACCUUUGAUUCUGAAGAUAAUGGUAUGGUUACAGGAGGGUCGUGGAGGGAAGAUACCGCUGAUAUGACAUCUAUGUUACCUCUACAGAAAGUGCCUAGGAAGCCAGGUACCGCAGCAAAGGAAUACAGAGAAGAGUUUGCUGAAUACUUUAUGAACAAUGGAAAAAUCCCCUGGCAAAAUGACUACAGUUAAAUACAUGUGUACCCUGUACCAUUGAUUUUAAUAAAUAAAUAUAAAUAUUUUACCUCUGAA
rnacentral:lncRNA from 1 species